rnacentral:rRNA from 1 species
GACGAACGCUGGCGGCGCGCUUAACACAUGCAAGUCGAGCGAAGCGGCGGACGGGUGAGUAACCCGUGAGUAACCUGCCUUAGACAUUGGGAUAGCCUCGGGAAACCGGGAUUAAUACCAAAUGGUCUAAGAUGGACUCGCGUCCCAUUAGCUAGUUGGUGGGUAACGGCCAACCAAGGCGACGAUGGGUAGCCGGCCUGCGAGGGUGAACGGCCACAUUGGAAAUGAUAAACGGUCCAAACUCUACGGGAGGCAGCAGUGGGGAAUAAUGCACAAUGGAGGGACCGCUGAUGCAGCGACGCAGCGUGAACGAAGAAGGCUUUCGAGUCGUAAAGUUCUUUUAUCUGGGAAGCGGUACAAUACGAAAAAGCCCCGGCUAACUACGUGCCAGCAGCCGCGGUAAUUC